AGAGUUUGAUCCUGGCUCAGAUUGAACGCUGGCGGCAUGCCUUACACAUGCAAGUCGAACGGUAACGCGGGGCAACCUGGCGACGAGUGGCGAACGGGUGAGUAAUGCAUCGGAACGUGCCCAGUAGUGGGGGAUAGCCCGGCGAAAGCCGGAUUAAUACCGCAUACGACCUAUGGGUGAAAGUGGGGGACCGCAAGGCCUCGCGCUAUUGGAGCGGCCGAUGUCAGAUUAGCUAGUUGGUGGGGUAAAGGCCUACCAAGGCGACGAUCUGUAGCUGGUCUGAGAGGACGACCAGCCACACUGGGACUGAGACACGGCCCAGGCUCCUACGGGAGGCAGCAGUGGGGAAUUUUGGACAAUGGGCGCAAGCCUGAUCCAGCCAUGCCGCGUGCGGGAAGAAGGCCUUCGGGUUGUAAACCGCUUUUGUCAGGGAAGAAACGCUCCGGGCCAAUACCCUGGGGUAAUGACGGUACCUGAAGAAUAAGCACCGGCUAACUACGUGCCAGCAGCCGCGGUAAUACGUAGGGUGCAAGCGUUAAUCGGAAUUACUGGGCGUAAAGCGUGCGCAGGCGGUCUUGCAAGACAGAUGUGAAAUCCCCGGGCUCAACCUGGGAACUGCAUUUGUGACUGCAAGGCUGGAGUGCGGCAGAGGGGGAUGGAAUUCCGCGUGUAGCAGUGAAAUGCGUAGAUAUGCGGAGGAACACCGAUGGCGAAGGCAAUCCCCUGGGCCUGCACUGACGCUCAUGCACGAAAGCGUGGGGAGCAAACAGGAUUAAAUACCCUGGUAGUCCACGCCCUAAACG
rnacentral:rRNA from 1 species